rnacentral:rRNA from 1 species
UACGUAGGGUGCAAGCGUUGUCCGGAAUUAUUGGGCGUAAAGAGCUCGUAGGCGGUUUGUCGCGUCGAAUGUGAAAACCCGGGGCUCAACUCCGGGCCUGCAUUCGAUACGGGCAGACUAGAGUUCGGUAGGGGAGACUGGAAUUCCUGGUGUAGCGGUGAAAUGCGUAGAUAUCUGGAGGAACACCGGUGGCGAAGGCGGCGUUCUGGACUGCAACUGACACUGAUGAACGAAAGCCAGGGGAGCAAACGGG